rnacentral:tRNA from 1 species
GAGGGGUUAAUUAAAAAAAUAAUAUAGAAAUGUCAUAUCUAAUUUGCUAUAGAGCAUCUCUUU